rnacentral:rRNA from 1 species
UACAGAGGUCUCAAGCGUUGUUCGGAUUCAUUGGGCGUAAAGGGUGUGUAGGUGGCGCCGUAAGUCGGGUGUGAAAUUUCGGAGCUUAACUCCGAAACUGCAUUCGAUACUGCGGUGCUUGAGGACUGGAGAGGAGACUGGAAUUUACGGUGUAGCAGUGAAAUGCGUAGAUAUCGUAAGGAAGACCAGUGGCGAAGGCGGGUCUCUGGACAGUUCCUGACACUGAGACACGAAGGCCAGGGGAGCAAACGG